UACGAACUGUGCGAACGUUAUUCGGAAUCACUGGGCUUAAAGGGUGCGUAGGCGGCUUCCUAAGUCAGGUGUGAAAUCUUCCGGCUCAACCGGAAAACUGCGCUUGAUACUGGGUUGCUUGAGUGAGGUAGGGGUGUGUGGAACUUCCGGUGGAGCGGUGAAAUGUGUAGAUAUCGGAAGGAACGCCAGCAGCGAAAGCGGCACACUGGGCCUUUUCUGACGCUGAGGCACGAAAGCUAGGGUAGCGAACGGG
rnacentral:rRNA from 1 species